rnacentral:rRNA from 1 species
UAACACGUGGGUAACCUGCCCAAGAGAUCGGGAUAACACCUGGAAACAGAUGCUAAUACCGGAUAACAACAGAUGAUGCCUAUCAACUGUUUAAAAGAUGGUUCUGCUAUCACUCUUGGAUGGACCUGCGGUGCAUUAGCUAGUUGGUAGGGUAACGGCCUACCAAGGCGAUGAUGCAUAGCCGACCUGAGAGGGUAAUCGGCCACAUUGGGACUGAGACACGGCCCAAACUCCUACGGGAGGCAGCAGUC